rnacentral:rRNA from 1 species
UGGGGAAUAUUGCACAAUGGGCGCAAGCCUGAUGCAGCAACGCCGCGUGAACGAUGAAGGUCUUCGGAUCGUAAAGUUCUGUUGCAGGGGAAGAUAAUGACGGUACCCUGUGAGGAAGCCCCGGCUAACUACGUGCCAGCAGCCGCGGUAAUACGUAGGGGGCUAGCGUUGUCCGGAAUCACUGGGCGUAAAUGGUUCGCAGGCGGAAUAACAAGUCAGAUGUGAAAGGCAUGGGCUCAACCCAUGUAAGCAUUUGAAACUGUAAUUCUUGAGAAGUGGAGAGGUAAGUGGAAUUCCUAGUGUAGCGGUGAAAUGCGUAGAUAUUAGGAGGAAUACCUGUGGCGAAGGCGACUUACUGGACACAAAUCUGACGCUGAGGAACGAAAGCGUGGGUAGCAAACAGG